rnacentral:rRNA from 1 species
CCAGACUCCUACGGGAGGCAGCAGUGGGGGAUAUUGCACAAUGGGGGGAACCCUGAUGCAGCGACGCCGCGUGAGUGAAGAAGUAAUUCGUCAUGUAAAGCUCUAUCAGCAGGGAAGAAUAAAUGACGGUACCUGAGUAAGAAGCCCCGGCCAACUACGUGCCAGCAGCCGCGGUAAUACGUAGGGGGCAAGCGUUAUCCGGAUUUACUGGGUGUAAAGGGAGCGUAGACGGCAGCGCAAGUCUGAAGUGAAAUGCCGGGGCUUAACCCCAGAACUGCUUUGGAAACUGUGCAGCUAGAGUGCAGGAGAGGUAAGUGGAAUUCCUAGUGUAGCGGUGAAAUGCGUAGAUAUUAGGAGGAACACCAGUGGCGAAGGCGGCUUACUGGACUGUAACUGACGUUGAGGCUCGAAAGCGUGGGGAGCAAACAGGAUUAGAUACCCCCGUACU